rnacentral:pre_miRNA from 1 species
AAUAAGUGCAGUUUUACACUAUUCACGUUCAACGUUUGACCGUCCGUCUUAUUUGAAAAAUUUGUGAAAAAAUUAAAAACAUUUAGUCACACAUAAAGUACUAUUCAUGUUUUAUCAUCUAAUAGCAAUAAAAAUAAUAAUCAUAAAAAAAUUUCAAAUAAGACGGAUGGUCAAACGUUAAACAUGAAUAGUGCAAAACUGCACUUAUU